rnacentral:lncRNA from 1 species
CCCUCACCUAAUAUCAUUUUAUCAGGGGAAGAAAUAUAUUUGUAAAGAUCUUACAGAAGUAGGUUUUAUUGAAGCAACAGGAGGGGGUGAGGCUGCAAUCCUGUUUAGGGGACAGGUGAAAACCGUUGUGAAUCUGUCUCACUAAUGUGCUGAUUUGAAUGGAUAUCAGGAGGGUGGGAGCUCCCCAGGAGGAGAUAUAAGGAGGUCCCAGUUAAGAACAGCUGAGAUGAUGCUGGAAGAAAGAAAGGGAGUGAAGAUGGAACCUGUGGCAUGGACAAUACAGCCAUGCUGGGACACUGGAAAUCUGUGGUGUUUCAUGAGGACAAGCCUGGCUUUUCUGCUAUGACUGCAUUGCUGUGGGUCCUGAGGCUUUGCCUGAAAGUGGCUCAGCUGAGCCUUGUAUGGUAGCUGCUGCUUUUCCUGACAACUCAAAACCCAGCCUGCCUCUACAGUGGACUCAACGCCUAUUUUACCCAGUGCUGCACUCACAGACCAAGGAGGACAUGAUGUGUAAGACCAGGAGCCUCACUCUUUCCACCCACUGCCAGAGAUCACCGUUUGCUGAUUGAUCAGUGUCCACAACCCCACAUGGAAGCAACACCUGGUAACUAUCAACUUCAUCUUACUAUCAGUUUUCUUUCAGCUUCUGGAACAGGUUUUGUUUGAGAAAGGGUG